AAAAGAGAAAGUAAGGGGGUUUUAUGCAAAAGAAACCACUCCUAUCCCCUCCCUUCCCAGAAACCCUAGCCGCCACUGUUCCCCACCGUUCUCUCGCUUUCUCCCCUCCCUUGCGCGACGGCGCCGCAUCGUCUUCCCUCCCCCUACUUCUCCUCGCCGCCGACGGCUUCCCCUCGCGCUCUCCCCGUCGUCCCCCAUCUCCUGCCCACCCCUAUCCCCUUCACCCUCUUCCGAGUCAAGCAGAGGAGAGAGAACCCACGCCUCCUAGACUCACGAACCAGUCGCCGCCUCCGUUCUUAUUGUUUUCUCUUUUUCCCCUAUUUCUCUCUACCUGGGGAGGUGACUCUACCAUUGCGCCGCCGUAGUUGGUGGUGGUAGCCUAGCUGGGGUGGCGAUGGAGGCGGGAGACGGUUCAUGGACUUGCGGCGGCGACGCCUACGACCGUCGAGCUCGGGUACCCAUGGACCGCCGGCGCUUCCAUUGGAAGGGCAUGAGCCAUCAGUGCUAAGCUCCAAUGCUGAUUAGGAAGAAUCCCAUGUAAGCCAUCAGUUCUUGAGCCCAAGCUGCUAGAUCUCCUUUUCCCCUGUAUUCCUACACUGUCACGCAUGUUCUGCUUGCAAUGCGAGGAGGCUUGGGAUGACCGCCACAGCGGCUGCGAAGGAGCCACUUCCCGAGCAGUCGUGCCAUGAUCGAUAAGAGUGAUCGAUGGAUGCGAGCAUAUGGUGUCCAUUGUGCAGUCGUGCAGAGAACAGGAGAUAUUGGAUUUUGGGUUGACGAAUUCACUUCGUUGUCCAAGCAACACUAUUUGAUCUCUUCAGGUUUUCUGUCCUCAAUCAUUCUACCAUUUAUUCCUUGCUAUUUUGUUUGGUUAUCUAGCUAGCAAUUAAAAUUUGUGCCCUUCUAUAAUUUUGUCAAAUGAUGGAAACUCCUAUUCUAAUUUUCUAGCACUGUUGGAUCUGGGUUUGGCAAAGUUCCAUUUUCCACUGUUUGUUGGUGAUUACUCCAAUACUAUCUAAUCAUGUUCUUAUUUAGUGAAAAAAUGAUGCUGCCAUCACACCACCUGCAAACUAAAUCAGGGUAGCGAUUCAGUCUAUAUAAAUAUAGGUGUAUGUUUCCCAGAUUCAAAUCUUUGUGACCUAGAUAAUGGUGAAGUAUGCUUAUCCAAUUGAAUCAACCUAAAAUGAGAUUAUGUUUUAUGUGUGAUGGUUGAAAGAAACUUACUCCUUUCUCCAUCUAACUUAUUGAUAUGAAGUGCAAUCCUAACAAACACGUCUACAGUAACCUAGCAGAAAUUAUAUGUGAUUUUCAUAUGAACUAUUCUAGCAAGAAGGAGAGCAUGUAGUUGGUUGAUAUGAAGUAAUGCUUUAGUGUUGUGCGUUGACAAGUGAGGUUAAUCAAUCUUUGGAAAUGUGAGAAUUGCCAGUUAGCUUUAAGCUUUCUUUGAAUUCCUUGACAAAUGCAUGUUUUUAAAUAUAGUGCGGGUAUCGCUACAUAGUUGCCAACACAAUAACAAAUCAACUGACAUAAGAAUUUGGUGCACGAAUUAGAUUAUCUCAUCCUUUUAUUUUGUUUAUUGUCAGGCUUUCCCUAUAAAUUAAUUGACAGGAGGAAGAAAUCACAGGUGGUUUACCAAUUUCAAUGACAUUUUAUAGUUCAUUAAAGAAUUGAACUUCUAUAUGGUAGCCGGGCAAAUGGCAGGGAUGUUUCUUUCUCUACACCUGUAUCUUGGCUGAUCAUUUAGUUUACUAGGAUCAUUUAGUUUCUUUCUGUAUAUAUAUGCUGUUAAGUGCUCUAUGAAGCAUAAUAAGUUCUCAUGGCUUCUGGAUUUACACUUAGCUGAUUUUAUCUCGCAGAAUUCAACAAUUUUUUUUUAUCGUCGCAUAGAUGUAAGAUUUCAGGUUCUGUGAUGGUCACAAACUUCAGAAUUCAAGUUGUAUUAGCCUAUGUUGGAACGAAGACCUUCAGAAGAACUAUAUGUAAUAUAAACGGUGUAAAUGAUGUAAAUGUUGUGACACUUAGUCUUUCCAACUAUAUUCUUUCAAUGCUUACCGAAUAUGUGAACAAUUGAUUAAUGUUUCUCUGCC